rnacentral:rRNA from 1 species
UACGUAGGGUGCAAGCGUUGUCCGGAAUUAUUGGGCGUAAAGAGCUCGUAGGCGGUUUGUCGCGUCGGUUGUGAAAACCCAAGGCUCAACCUUGGGCCUGCAAUCGAUACGGGCAGACUAGAGUACUGCAGGGGGAGACUGGAAUUCCUGGUGUAGCGGUGGAAUGCGCAGAUAUCAGGAGGAACACCGAUGGCGAAGGCAGCUCGCUGGGACGGUACUGACGCUGAGGCGCGAAAGCGUGGGGGAGCAAACAGG